AUUUUCAGGAAACUCGAUGACAUUUGGAAUCGUAAGUUUGACCUCAGUUUUAUAAUCGUUUAUGUUUUCUCCAUAAAAAUGUUAAAAGUCAAAACUUAAGCCCAGAGGCUUAAGGGAGAUUGCUGACGCUUGUGGAGCGGAUUCAACCGCAAAAUUUCGUAGCGGUGGCGGAUGAACUACGAUGGUGGACAUGGUUGUCGGUAAAGCAUCACCACGGACUACGUGGCAUUCAAUUUGUAGGGCGAUUUGGGGUUUUCCGAAAGCUCCCGGAAUAUUCUAAAUCCCAUUUGUGCAUUUUUGGCGUCUUCCUGAGCUCAUUAAGAACGGAGAAACAAUUUUUUAAUGAACAAGUGGAUUUCGGGAGCCUCAUCCAUCCACGCCAGAAUCGACGGUGGCGUGCUCCACCGCUGGAAUCAUAACUAGCGUUGGCAUGGGGUCGGCUGACCCCCGGGACCUAUCCUCUGAGUUGAAGUUGUUCGGAUAGUGUGGGUGACGUGACCGUAGACUUUACGGACUUCCGAAAAUUCAUAGCGUUUCCGUGGUAACGGCAUAACAGAUCAAUUUGACAACUCUGUGACCCAUCGAAAGAUACAAACAAGAAAAUUUAUCAAUUAUUGUUGGAAGUUAUUAUUUAUCAAAAUGAGGGCACACCCAGCGUGGGUGGACAGAGUUGAAGACAAAACGGAGCAAUGCAUUUAUGAUCUGUGUUUUAAUCCUGAUGGGAGUCAACUCAUUGUUGCUGCUGGCCAGCAAGUGCUUGUUUAUGAAUCAGAAAAGGGGGUGUUGAUUCAAACUUUGAAAGGUCAUAAGGACACAGUUUAUUGCGUGUGUUACGCAAGAGACGGGAAAAAAUUUGCCUCCGGUGGUGCUGACAAGAGCGUAAUCGUCUGGACAUCGAAACUCGAAGGAAUUUUAAAAUACUCUCACAACGAUGCAGUUCAGUGUAUGCAAUUCAAUCCAGUGUCUCACCAGCUCGUCAGCUGUUCUAUAUCGGACAUCGCCUUUUGGUCCUCUGAGCAGAAAGCAGUCCAAAAGCACAAAUCAGGAGGUCGAGUCAACUGCUGCGCCUGGACAAGAGACGGUCAAUACCUAGCGAUUGGAUUAGCAGCUGGAUACGUGUCUAUCAGAAACAAAAAUGGCGAAGAGCAAGCACGAAUUGAGAGAUCAGGAGCAACGUCAAUAUGGAGUCUAUCCUGGGGUCCUCUAAAGGAUGACUCUAACAUGGAUGUCCUCUGUAUAGCAGAAUGGGGUGGAACAAUAUCCUUCCAUACCCUAUUCGGUAAACAAAUCGGCCGAGAGAGAAUUCUGAAUUUCAUUCCCCUAAAAAUCACACAUUUUCCUGAAGGCCAGUAUCUCCUGGUGGCUGGAAGCAACAAGAAAUGUCUCUUGAUGACCCACGAGGGAAUUCAACUUGCCACAGUCAGUGAUUCUUUCUCGACCUGGGUCUGGAGCUGUGCAGUCCAUCCCUCCUCGUCUCACGUAGCUGUGGGCAGCCAAGAUGGCACCAUCACCUACCUUCAGAUCACCUGGAGCAUCGUCCAUGGUCUCUACGGGGAUCGUUACGCCUAUCGCGAGAACAUGACUGAUGUGAUAAUCCAGCACUUGACGACCAAUCAAAAGGUCCGAAUUAAAUGCAAAGAUUUGAUCCAGAGAAUAGCUGUUUAUCGAGACAAACUAGCUGUUCAAUUACCAGAACGAGUUAUUAUUUAUGAACCAUCUGGUUCCAACGACAGCAUGCACUACCGAAUUCAAGAGAAACUUCCCCAGACACUGGACUGCAGCCUCCUCGUGGUGACGUCCAGCCACUUGGUUUUGUGUCUUGAAAAAAGACUCCAGAGUCUGUCAUUCACUGGACUCGUGGAGAGAGAGUGGAUCCUAGACAGUCCUAUCACGUAUAUCAAAGUGGUUGGAGGCCCAGCAGGGAAGGAGUGUCUUGUGGCGGGUCUGAAAACCGGUCAAGUGAUGAAGAUUUACCUGGACAAUCCUUUUCCCGUACAUUUAGCCAAGGUAGACGGUCCAAUUCGCUGCUUGGACGUCAGUUCACUCAAGGAGAAACUGGCUGUUGUCAGUGAAACCAAUACUCUAUCCGUAUUCGAUCUUUAUACUGAGGAAAAACUCCAGGAGUUUUAUGACGUAACGAGUGUUGCCUUCAAUCGUGCCUUCGAGGAUAUGAUGUGCUUCUCAGGUAGAGAUUAUUUGGCGACUAAAGUCGCUAAUUUUCCAGAGUACAAGCAAAAAUUUUGUGGAUACGUCGUUGGUCAUAAUGGCUCGAAAGUCUACUGCAUAAAUGGGACGAAUAUUAUCCGAGUUGAAGUUCCCCUGUCCUCCACGAUGUACCAAUAUUUGGAGAUUGGGAUGUUUGAUGAGGCUUAUGCUAUCGCUUGUCUCGGUGUUGCUGAGAGUGAUUGGCUGGCUCUGGGAAUAGCAGCUCUUGAUAAACUGGAAUUGAACAUAGCCUACGCUGCAUUUGCGAGACUUAAAAAAUUACGGUACAUUGAAAUUGUGUCUGAUAUUGAGGAGAAACUGAAGUCUGGAGAGUGGGGAAAGGAGGCCUGUAUGGCAACUGGUGCUGCAGCAAUGGGGAGAUUACGAGACGCAGCGAGACUCUAUCAAAAGGCUGGAUUACAACAGCACGCCCUUGACAUGUAUUCCGACCUGAGGAUGUUUGACAUAGCUCAGGAGUUCAUAGCAGCUGGAAAUACACAAGACAGAACAGUCCUCCUACGAAAACGUGCCGAGUGGGCAAAGAGUUUGGGAGAGCCUCGAGCAGCUGCAGAAAUGUUUCUCGCUGCUGGUGAUGUCCAGAGGGCCAUAAAUAUCAUAGCGGAGUACGGCUGGAUUGACAUGUUGAUAAAAGUUGGCCGGCAAUUGGAUAAAGCUGAACGUGACAGUCUGUCGAUAAUUGCGAAGAAAUUGAAACAACUGGGAGCAACUCAUGGUGCAGCUGAAAUUUUCAGUCGCCUUGGGGACGAUCCAGAUGUUGCUGAUGUCCUCGUUGAUGCCCAGGCAUGGCCAGAGGCCUUUGAACUUGCCGAGAGAAAUCCCAAGUUGAAAUCCAGGGUUUAUGGGCCUUAUGCGAGGUGGUUGGCGGAGACUGGAAGAUUCUCAGACGCACAGAAGGCUUUUCAGACUGCUGGACAGCCGGAAGAGUCCAUCGUGGUUCUCACAACAUUGGCUAACAAUGCAGUGUGUGAAAAAAGAUUCAGGGAUGCUUCCUAUUUUUACUGGCUCCUGUCUCAGUUGAGUUUGGAGUUGAAUAAAAAUUCUGAGGACGUUAAAACUAUAUUUAUGGAGUAUUCUGAUAAAGCUGAUGUGUAUUAUGCGUAUUUCGAGGUGUUCAAGUACAUGGAGGAGCCGUUUACGUCGUUGAUGCCUGAGGCACUCUUCAAUAUAUCAAGAUUUUUGUUGAUGAAGAUUCAGGGAUUAAGAGCCGAGGGAAUUUCAAAACUGACGAUAACUUAUGCACUAGUGAAACAAGCGAGGAUUCUUGGAGCUAAUAAAUUAGCGAUGCAAUUGCUGGAGAGAUUGAGGGGAAUGAAAGUUCCCGAGCAUCUUCAGGCGCAAAUUGAAGUCUCGACACUGGGGGCUCGAGCUUAUCAGUACAGGGAUCCUGAGGAGCUACUGCCACUGUGCUACAGAUGCUCGACCUUUAAUAGUCUUUUACCGGCGAAUAAUUCGUCUAGUAAUCGGUGUAUUCAGUGUGGACUCAAGUUUCAACAUUCUUUUGUGAUGUUUGAGACUCUUCCUCUGGUGGAGUUUGAACUGGAUAAUGCUAUUACUGAUGAGGAAGCUGAGAGGUUGAUUGAGGAGCCAGUGCCUUCGGAUGAUAAUUCUACGGUUGUUGAGGAUCAGUUGACGAUAAAUAGUAAUGAGGCUGAUUUGUUCACUGCCAGGCUAAUCAAGUUUGACGAUAAAAGUGGAGGGACUGUGAUCAAGGUUGGCAGGGGAGUUUUGAGGAGUAUGGAACCGUCCAGUGUGCUUAUUGUUAAGUGGCCAGAGCCGUUCAAGACUAGGUAUUAUAGGAAUUUAUUGACGGAUCUCCAGGUGACGUUCUGCAAAUCGUGUCUGAGGUUCUUCCACGCGGAUGACUACGAAUUGGCACUUCUCCGGCAUGGACACUGUCCCUUCUGCAGGAUCUCAAGUUCGUCAGUGAAUUGAUCGAACUCUAAAUUAGCUAUCACCUCACGUACCUGAAUUAAAACACUAAUUGAUAGCCUUUACCAUGGGUGAUCGAAGGUUUGAUGACACCUUUCAGACAUCGAAUAUUCAUAUCUCGCGUCUGACCGAUGCGAGGGACGUUUACUGUCUGGUAGACUGUUGCCCGGAGAGAAUUUUUCAUGAAAACUCUAUUGAGCGCACAGGAAAGAGGGGCAAAGUUACGGCGAGAGAAAAAUUCUAGUCCUGGCGCGGUAAAUCGCAUUGGGAGGAACAUGAAUUUUUCUCCGCAUUUCUGGGAAAAUUUAUAAAAAAUUGGCGAGAAUUCUUUUUCUCUGCGCUUCCUUACGUGCGGAUAAAUAAGAGAAAUGAUUAUCUUUAUUUACUCCUGACUUUUACCAAUUUUACACAAUUUAGAAGUCACCCGUAGACGAAAGGGGUCGGGGAAACAAAAAUAUUAAAGAGGUCACAGAUAUGAAACAAUAGUCCAAUUACUGGGCACGUGGACACGAAUUAACAAUUAUUUUUUAGCUGGUGAAGGCGUAUUACAUCAGAUCUUACGACCCCGUCAUUUAACGUGUUGGGGUGUAAAUCGCUAACGUUGCGCCCCAGUUACCUACAUUCGUCCAUUAUACGUGGAUUUGGUUCCCAUAUAAUCGUGGAGUGUUUUAAUUUUCCCUUCAACAUAUUUUCGUCCAAAUAAAAAUAACCACUUUCGUGUCUACUUAUCAUCCGGAUUGGAAAAGAGAUAUGUUAUGAAAUUUCCGGGGUUAACAAUAAAAUGAUAAUCGGUGUAGAAUAUGAAGAGGAGAGAAGUCGACGAUUUCGAUAUAACACCGAACUCUAGGGGUUUCAGUUUCGUUCACAUUGACUGUUACACUGGGUAUGUUCAUCAUGAUGGUUUCGAAUAAUUGUCUUUCCAGCUGAUCGGAAUUAUCUGCUGCGAGAUCGCGUAUGAUAACAGCUGUGUGGAUAUCACCAGGUAGAAGGAGGCGAGUAAUCACACUUUUCAAUCAAUCGACUUCUGAUCGACUUAAGUUUUGGCUCAAUGAAAUUGCGAUUAUGAACAUUGAGAGGAAAAAUUUUGCACUAGACAUGAUAGAGGAAUGUAAUUCCUGACCUGAACUCAGGCUAGUUCAUCUCUUCUUUUGGUGUAAUUUCAAUACUCAAUGAACGAACCCAUUAGUUACAUAUACUAGCGGUACUCAUAGUCCAGUUAUCCAAAUUAUCCUGACAUUAUUGAAUUUACCAGUCGAAGAGUUGCUAAUUGUCAUGUCUGUUGAGCAAACUAUUCCCCGUUAUCCGGAUCGUUGAGACGGGUUUU